GACGAACGCUGGCGGCGUGCUUAACACAUGCAAGUCGAACGGAAAGGCCCUGCUUUUGUGGGGUGCUCGAGUGGCGAACGGGUGAGUAACACGUGAGUAACCUGCCCUUGACUUUGGGAUAACUUCAGGAAACUGGGGCUAAUACCGGAUAGGAGCUCCUGCUGCAUGGGGGGGGUUGGAAAGUUUCGGCGGUUGGGGAUGGACUCGCGGCUUAUCAGCUUGUUGGUGGGGUAGUGGCUUACCAAGGCUUUGACGGGUAGCCGGCCUGAGAGGGUGACCGGCCACAUUGGGCCUGAGAUACGGCCCAGACUCCUACGGGAGGCAGCAGGGGGGAAUAUUGCACAAUGGGCGGAAGCCUGAUGCAGCAACGCCGCGUGCGGGAUGACGGCCUUCGGGUUGUAAACCGCUUUCGCCUGUGACGAAGCGUGAGUGACGGUAAUGGGUAAAGAAGCACCGGCUAACUACGUG
rnacentral:rRNA from 1 species